UACGUAGGUGGCAAGCGUUGUCCGGAAUUAUUGGGCGUAAAGCGCGCGCAGGCGGUCCUUUAAGUCUGAUGUGAAAGCCCACGGCUCAACCGUGGAGGGUCAUUGGAAACUGGGGGACUUGAGUACAGAAGAGAAGAGUGGAAUUCCACGUGUAGCGGUGAAAUGCGUAGAUAUUGGGAGGAACACCGGUGGCGAAGGCGGCCCCCUGGACCGGUACUGACGCUGAGGCGCGAAAGCGUGGGUAGCAAACGGG
rnacentral:rRNA from 1 species